rnacentral:rRNA from 1 species
AUGAACGCUAGCUACAGGCUUAACACCUGCAAGUCGCGGGGAAACGACAUCGAAAGCUUGCUUUUGAUGGGCGUCGACCGGCGCACGGGUGAGUAACGCGUAUCCAACCUGCCCAUCACUUGGGAAUAACCUUGCGAAAGUAAGACUAAUACCCAAUGAUAUCCCACGAAGGCAUCGGAAUGGGAUUAAAGAUUUAUCGGUGAUGGAUGGGGAUGCGUCUGAUUAGCUUGUUGGCGGGGUAACGGCCCACCAAGGCAACGAUCAGUAGGGGUUCUGAGAGGAAGGUCCCCCACAUUGGAACUGAGACACGGUCCAAACACCUACGGGAGGCAGCAGUGAGGAAUAUUGGUCAAUGGGCGAGAGCCUGAACCAGCCAAGUAGCGUGCAGGAAGACGGCCCUAUGGGUUGUAAACUGCUUUUAUAAGGGAAUAAAGUGGGUCACGUGGGACUUUUUGCAUGUACCUUAUGAAUAAGGACCGGCUAAUUCCGUG